CUCUGUAUUCACGUGGGGAAAGGGUGCACGUGGACGGCUGGGGAGAGAGGGAGAGGACACUGGGAUCCCUGGGGCGGUCGCUAUGCCAGACAGCCAAGCGGUGAUAUCAAUAUGCAGCAGUCACGGGAGUACCAUAGUUUGCUGCAAAUCCGACGUAUGACCCGACUGAUUCACUGACCUCUGGCCGCCAUCUGGUGUCGGGUUUUGGAGACAUUUCUGGAAACAUUGUAGGACCUGAAGCAACAGCUGUUGUAGCAGCAGCCAUUCGUUUGUGUAAAAAUCGAUGUUUACAUAUGAUGAAAAGAUAGAUUUGUAUUUCGCUAUGUAUCAUGCUGUCAUAUUGAACACGUUUGGUCGCCUGGGCGACAUGUAAAUUGUCAACCAAGUAUCAUUAGAUUUAACUAUAUAUGUAAAUCGUGAUAAUGUGAUCUGUAACUAUUCUAGACAAAGCUCACGUUGAACCUACUUAACUUAUUCACACUUAAUUCACGUAUAUAAUGUAAAUAUUAAAAUAUGUAUCAUAU